GAGAGUGUUGACAACUACGUUUACCUUUCCGUAGGGCAAUCAGAAGAUCAAGAUCAUUUGACAGAAGUUGUGGUAGGGGAGGUGUAUUCACCUGUGCAACUGUUGGCGCGACUAUCUCCUGGGGUCGCCUAGAAUACACUUGUGUAAUGGGAGCAGGGUCUAGAAAUA